AAUGUAAUAAAGGGAUACCUAGGUAUCAAAAAAUAUAGAGUUGUGAAUUGCAAUAAUAAAGUAAGAGAGCAAUAGCUCGAUGAAGACUUUGUUACUCAUAAGAGAAAUCUAAUAAGACUUAAGACUUAACAAACAAGGUGAAGUAAAACAUUAUAGUAACCUUUUGUAAAAAUCAACCGAGAGUUUGUCAGUAGCGGUGAGCGAAAGCAAAUAAGUUUUGUAGUAUUAUCAAACGUCACUUGAAUCAUCCAUAGAAGGUCUGAGUCCUGUAAACAUACGUUAAUAAAUACUACGUUAAUUUUAUGACGAAUUAUGCUAAAUUUGUCAUUUUUAAGAGGAAUUUCCCUCAAACUAAAAAUUUUUGAUAACCGAUAGUAAACAAGUACCGUGAGGGAAAGGUGAAAAAGAACUUUUAUAAGGUUUAAAAGAACUUGAAAUUUAUUACAUAUUAUCUGUUGGAGCUGAGAAUUUAAUUCUUGGUGACAGCGUACCUUUUGCAUAAUGGACCAAUAAGUUUACUUUUGUAGCGAAUUUAAUAACAAGAUAAAAAUAACCUAAGUGUUAAAACGCGCUUUUAGUUACAAUAGUAAGAUCCGAAGCUGAGUGAUCUAACCAUGAACAGGCUGAAAUUUGUCACUAGCAAUAGUGCUUGGAGGGCCGAACCCGUGUCUGUAGAAAAAGAUUGGGAUGAUUUGUGGUUAGGGGUGAAAGGCUAAUCAAACUCAGUUAUAGCCGAUUUUCUGCGAAAUAUAUUUAAGUAUAGCCUACAAAUAAGAAAGUUAAGGGGUAGAGCUCUUUUGUAAGGAGGGGGGCAUUAGCCUUACUGAGUUAUGAAAAACUACGAAUACUAACUCUUUUUUUUGUGGAGUCAGAUAGUGAGCGCUAAGGUUCACUAUCGAGAGGGAAACAGCCCAGAUUAAAAAAUAAGGUCUUUAAAUAUGAUUUAAGUGAUAAGAGUGUUAAAAAGUGUUCACAAUUAUAAAGUGGGCUCGGAAGCAGCCAUCUUUUGAAGAAAGCGUAACAGCUCAUUAAUCUAACUUUUUUGCCUCGAAGAUUUAUAGAGACUAAAAUCAUUACCGAAUUUUUAAAAAGUAAUUUAUAUUACUUUGGUAGCAGAACGAUCAAUAUUAAUAAAGUUAACUUGAAAAAGUUAAUUGCUAAAUUUGAUGCGAGCAUAUUGGUAUUAGUAGCUAAAACAAUGUUUAAUCAUUGUCGCCGGAAAUCCAAGGUAUACAAGAACAUGCUAAACAUACUUGUUAAUAUUAAAACGAUCCCUAAGGAAAAUUACAAAAGUAUAAUCUGAUGGGUUUUGUGUGAGUUGUGACAGAGUCUGUAAAUUCAGAAUGCGAUCGUAGUGACCCUGAAGUCAUGAGGACAAACGGAGUGUUCUGGCUGGACUCUCUGGAAAUAGCACUCACUUCUUUGAUAGACAAUCGUACCCUAAACCGACACAGGUGGAUAAGUAGAACAUACUAAGGCGAUCAAGAAAACUAUAUUGAAGGAACUCGGCAAAUUAACUCUGUAACUUCGGGAGAAGGAGUGACAUCUUGGUUAACGCCAAGAAUGUUGGCACUAAAGAAGAAGAAACGACUGUUUAACAAAAACACAAGUCUCUGCAAAUUCGAAAGAAGAAGUAUAGAGACUGACACCUGCCCGGUGCUGUAAGGUAAUGUGGAGAUGUAUAUGCAUCGAAAUUAAGCCCCAGCAAACGGCGGCUGUAACUCUGACGGUCCAAAGGUAGCGAAAUUCCUUGUCGGGUAAGUUCCGACCCGCACGAAUGGCGUAAUGACUUGGAAGCUGUCUCAAGGAGAGACUCGGUGAAAUAGAAAUGUCUGUGAAGAUGCGGACUACUUGCGCCUGGACAGUAAGACCCUAUGAAGCUUUACUGCAUCUUGAAAUUGGCUUUUGAUUUUUGUUGCGCAGAAUAGGUGGGAGACUAUGAAAUUUUUCUUCUGGGAAAGAUGGAGUCAUCAAUGAGAUACCACUCUACACAAAUUGAAAUCCUAACUUUAAUCCGUGAGCCGGAUAAAGAACAGUUUCUGGUGGGCAGUUUGACUGGGGCGGUCGCCUCCUAAAAAGUAACGGAGGCGUACAAAGGCGAGCUCAGGUUUAACAGACCGAAGAGUGUAAUGGCAAAAGCUCGCUUGACUGUAAGAUUGACAAAUCGAACAGGGAUGAAAGUCGGUCAUAGUGAUCCGGUGAUUUAACGUAAGAUAAUCAUCGCUCAACGAAUAAAAGGUACGCCGGGGAUAACAGGCUGAUGGUUUCCGAGAGUCCAUAUUGACGAGACCGUUUGGCACCUCGAUGUCGGCUCAUCACAUCCUGGAAUUGAAGACGAUUUCAAGGGUUCGGCUGUUCGCCGAUUAAAGUGGUACGUGAGCUGGGUUCAGAACGUCGUGAGACAGUUCGGUCCCUAUCUGCCGCAAGUGGGAAAACUGAGAGGAGUAAACCCUAGUACGAGAGGACCGGGUUAAGUAAACCUAUGGUGAAUUGAUUAUUACAUCCGUAGUACCGUCAAGUAGCUAAGUUUAUAAAAGAUAAUUGCUGAAAGCAUAUAAGCAAGAAACUUCCCUUAAAACAUGUUUUCAUAAUUAAGUAGAAGAUUACUACUUUGAUAGGCUUUAAAUGCAAGAGAUCUCAAGUCUCUUAGUUGAAAAGUACUAAAAUUUUAACUAAUUUAU
rnacentral:rRNA from 1 species